GGCACGGAAAGACUUCCUUAUUUUUGAUGACAUUGGCAGUUUUGAGAAGUAUGGGCUAGGUAUUUUGUUGAAUUUGUCUCUAUUGGAAUUUGUCUGAGAUAUUUCUUAUGCCUGGUUUGGGAUUGUAGAUCUUUGGAAAAAAAAUUUGCAGAGGUCAGGUGUUAUUCUUAUCACAUCACAUCGAAGGUACAUACUGUCAACAUGAUUUAUCACUGAUGAUAUUGGCUUUGAUGACCUGGCUGAGAUAGUGGUUUUCAGAUUUCUUCACUGUAAAGUUAACUAUUUUUUCUUCCCCCUUCCUAUAUUCUGCUCUUUGGAGGAAAUUUUUAUGUGCAGCCCAUACUUCAGAAGUAGAGAGCUCUGCUCUAUCUUCUUGAGGGUUCAGUAUCUACAGAAAUUCUUUGCAAUUCUAGUGACUGUGAUUAGUCAGUGACUAUGAUUAGACUAUGAUUAAACUAUGACUAGAGGCACUCAGUUUUAGCUUGUGCUUCUGAAAUGUGAACUUUACAAGUGCGUUUAGUCCUCUACUCGCCAUGAUGGAAGCAUGAAGGGAUUUUUUCUGCACUGUGCACUGGGAGAAGCACGUUGAACUCCUGGAGCGUCUGGUCUGGGACCUCACCAAAAGGCUGGAUAAUAGGCAGAGCCAUGGUUUUACAGGCGACCAUAGGAGUGUGGUCACAGAUGUACAUUUUUCAGAGGAAUGCAACAUAAGGCUGCCAGAUGGACUGACGUGUGUAGUUUUAUUUCACAAGGGAGCACCAAUGUGCAGCUUCAGUGGAGACGAGGCCCUUGCGGGCACAGUGUUAACUGCAGAAGCCACUUUGCCCAAUGUGUACAAUCUGGAACAUGGGGAAGAAAAAACAGGAAAACUAAUAGCGUUUUGUGAAUCUUCAUGUAAAACUCUGACUUUUAAAUUAUUAUCAUAAGAUGAAAUAUUUGAGUAGUCAGGGGGCAAAGAGGUUAAAGGAUUGUGAGGUGACUAUGAACUAGGAUAUAGUCGUAACUGAAACCAAGAAACAUAUAAAAACAAAUAGUAAAACAUUGAUUUCACUGUCAAAAAUAAAGCAGAAGUUUCUUUCACGGGUUCAUUAUAUUGUGGGGCCCUAAACACACUCAUCGAGUUGAUCUAUAAUCAAAUGUUCCAAUAGUUUCUUAACUGCUAUCCUACCAUCUGGAUAUUAAUAAGAAAUGAAUAAAAUAAUUUAUUAGUAAAAUUAAAAGCAACAUCAGGAAUGACAUGCUGGCAGGUAAAACAGCACCCAAGGAAUAUUUCAGAGUCAGCUCUGUACCAAUAAAAGUAUAGUACUUGGUAAGAAUUCUGAUGAUUGACCAUAUUGUGGCAUACAUUUUCUUUCUCUUAUAACCUUCUAAUUUUUACUACCUCUCUAAGAUAAAGUGAAAGCUACUAGAGUAAUAAUACUGACAAACUAAGACUGAAUCACAUCAGGCAAACGAUAAGUAAAAGUUGAUGGUGACACUGCUGGGAACAUAAAGACAGAUUUUAGCAGAAUAAUGAUGAACACUGGUUUUUUGUUUUAGAAAUUGUAAUAAGAACUAUUUGACCAUGAUGAUUCCACAUGUACCCAAGCUUCAUUAAAACACUCUGUGAAAAUGAGGUUGUUUUAAAGACAAAUAAGAUUGUAAUUAAUAA